rnacentral:rRNA from 1 species
GAUGAACGCUGGCGGCGUGCCUAAUACAUGCAAGUCGAGCGAACAGACGAGGAGCUUGCUCCUCUGACGUUAGCGGCGGACGGGUGAGUAACACGUGGAUAACCUACCUAUAAGACUGGGAUAACUUCGGGAAACCGGAGCUAAUACCGGAUAAUAUAUUGAACCGCAUGGUUCAAUAGUGAAAGACGGUUUUGCUGUCACUUAUAGAUGGAUCCGCGCCGCAUUAGCUAGUUGGUAAGGUAACGGCUUACCAAGGCAACGAUGCGUAGCCGACCUGAGAGGGUGAUCGGCCACACUGGAACUGAGACACGGUCCAGACUCCUACGGGAGGCAGAAGUAGGGAAUCUUCCGCAAUGGGCGAAAGCCUGACGGAGCAACGCCGCGUGAGUGAUGAAGGUCUUCGGACCGUAAAACUCUGUUAUUAGGGAAGAACAAAUGUGUAAGUAACUAUGCACGUCUUGACGGUACCUAAUCAGAAAGCCACGGCUAACUACGUG